GACGAACGCUGGCGGCGUGCCUAACACAUGCAAGUCAACUUGACUGAAGGAGCAAUCUGACAGUAGAGUGGCGCAAGGGUGCGUAAUAUAUCGGAACGUACCCGGAAAUGGGGGAUAACGUAGCGAAAGUUACGCUAAUACCGCAUAUGCCCUAAGGGGGAAAGCGGGGGACUCGCAAGAACCUCGCGUUUUCGGAGCGGCCGAUAUCGGAUUAGCUAGUAGGUGAGGUAAAGGCUCACCUAGGCGACGAUCCGUAGCUGGUCUGAGAGGACGACCAGCCACACUGGAACUGAGACACGGUCCAGACUCCUACGGGAGGCAGCAGUGGGGAAUUUUGGACAAUGGGCGCAAGCCUGAUCCAGCCAUGCCGCGUGAGUGAAGAAGGCCUUC
rnacentral:rRNA from 1 species